AUGGUUCCAGUCUACUGGUCUGAUGAAGAGGAUGGAUAUCAUUCUGUAGGGUAGAGAUGGUUCCAGUCUACUGGUCUGAUGAAGAGGAUGGAUAUCAUUCUGUAGGGUAGAGAUGGUUCCAGUCUACUGGUCUGAUGAAGAGGAUGGAUAUCAGAUGGUUCCAGUCUACUGGUCUGAUGAAGAGGAUGGAUAUCAUUCUGUAAGGUAGAGAUGGUUCCAGUCUACUGGUCUGAUGAAGAGGAUGGAUAUCAUUCUGUAAGGUAGAGAUGGUUCCAGUCUACUGGUCUGAUGAAGAGGAUGGAUAUCAUUCUGUAAGGUAGAGAUGGUUCCAGUCUACUGGUCUGAUGAAGAGGAUGGAUAUCAUUCUGUAGGGUAGAGAUGGUUCCAGUCUACUGGUCUGAUGAAGAGGAUGGAUAUCAUUCUGUAAGGUAGAGAUGGUUCCAGUCUGAUGAAGAGGAUGGAUAUCAUUCUGUAAGGUAGAGAUGGUUCCAGUCUGAUGAAGAGGAUGGGUAUCAUUCUGUAAGGUAGAGAUGGUUCCAGUCUACUGGUCUGAUGAAGAGGAUGGAUAUCAUUCUGUAGGGUAGAGAUGGUUCCAGUCUGAUGAAGAGGAUGGAUAUCAUUCUGUAGGGUAGAGAUGGUUCCAGUCUACUGGUCUGAUGAAGAGGAUAGAUAUCAUUCUGUAGGGUAGAGAUGGUUCCAGUCUACUGCGCUAUUUUAAACACACAACAUAUCUUCAACAUUUUUUUUUAAGACAAUAAUUGCUUCUAAUAAUAUAAUAAAAUAAUAAAAUGGCUGUUUUAGCUGGGCGUUGGGUAAAUGGCUGUUUUAGCUGGGCGUUGGGUAAAUGGCUGUUUUAGCUGGGUGUUGGGUAAAUGGCUGUUUUAGCUGGGUGUUGGGUAAAUGGCUGUUUUAGCUGGGCGUUGGGUAAAUGGCUGUUUUAGCUGGGCGUUGGGUAAAUGGCUGUUUUAGCUGGGCGUUGGGUAAAUGGCUGUUUUAGCUGGGCGUUGGGUAAAUGGCUGUUUUAGCUGGGUGUUGGGUAAAUGGCUGUUUUAGCUGGGUGUUGGGUAAAUGGCUGUUUUAGCUGGGUGUUGGGUAAAUGGCGGUUUUAGCUGGGCGUUGGCUGUGUGUGUGUGGUUGGCUGUGUGUGUGUGUGUGUGUG